GGUUAAAAAGCUCGUAGUUGGAUUUCUGUCGAAGACGGUCGGUCCGCUCUAUGAGCGUGCAUCUGAUUCGGCUUUGGCAUCCUCGUGGGGAACGUAACUGUGCUUGAUUGCAUGGUGCGGAAUUCACGACUUUUACUUUGAGGAAAUUAGAGUGUUCACGGCAGGCAAGCGCCUUGAAUACAUUAGCAUGGAAUAAUAAUAUAGGACUUUGGUUCUAUUUUGUUGGUUUCUAGGACUAAAGUAAUGAUUAAUAGGGAUAAUUGGGGGCAUUUGUAUUAACGCGUCAGAGGUGGAAUUCUUGGAUUGCGUUACGACAAACUACUGCGAAAGCAUUUGCCAAGGAUGUUUUCAUUGAUCAAGAACGAAAGUAUGGGGAUCGAAGAUGAUUAGAUACCGUCGUAGUCUAUACCAUAAACUAUGCCGACUAGAGAUUGGAGGUCGUUCUUUUUAUGACUCC
rnacentral:rRNA from 1 species